AACGAACGCUGGCGGCAGGCUUAACACAUGCAAGUCGAACGCCCCGCAAGGGGAGUGGCAGACGGGUGAGUAACGCGUGGGAACAUACCCUUUUCUACGGAAUAGCUCUGGGAAACUGGAAUUAAUACCGUAUACGCCUUACGGGGGAAAGAUUUAUCGGGGAAGGAUUGGCCCGCGUUGGAUUAGCUAGUUGGUGGGGUAAAGGCCUACCAAGGCGACGAUCCAUAGCUGGUCUGAGAGGAUGAUCAGCCACAUUGGGACUGAGACACGGCCCAAACUCCUACGGGAGGCAGCAGUGGGGAAUAUUGGACAAUGGGCGCAAGCCUGAUCCAGCCAUGCCGCGUGAGUGAUGAAGGCCUUAGGGUUGUAAAGCUCUUUCACCGAUGAAGAUAAUGACGGUAGUCGGAGAAGAAGCCCCGGCUAACUUCGUGCCAGCCGCCGCUGUAAAAC
rnacentral:rRNA from 1 species